GCGAGGGUAGCAAAGUCUGGUCAAAUGCGCAGGACUUAAGAUCCUGUCACUUAGUGUGUCCGUGGGUUCGAAUCCCAUCCCUCGCA
rnacentral:tRNA from 1 species